rnacentral:rRNA from 1 species
UACGUAGGGUGCAAGCGUUUGUCCGGAAUUAUUGGGCGUAAAGAGCUCGUAGGCGGUUUGUCGCGUCUGCUGUGAAAACGCGAGGCUCAACCUCGCGCCUGCAGUGGGUACGGGCAGACUAGAGUGCGGUAGGGGAGAUUGGAAUUCCUGGUGUAGCGGUGGAAUGCGCAGAUAUCAGGAGGAACACCGGUGGCGAAGGCGGGUCUCUGGGCAGUAACUGACGCUGAGGAGCGAAAGCGUGGGGAGCGAACAGG